AUUCAAUAAUAAAAUCUCUCGGAUUAAUACACUUUCCAGACUAUAAGAUGGCCGAUAAGAUAUCGACAUGCAUCAUUGGAUCUGGCAAUUGGGCCACGACCAUAGCCCGAAAUGUGGGCAGGAAUGUGGCCGCAAUGGCCAACACAAUGGAGCCGAAGGUCUACAUGUAUGUGUAUGAGGAAAUAGUUGAGGGUCGAAAGCUUACCGAAAUCAUCAACACAACCCACAUCAAUGUGAAGUACAUGCCGGACUUUGUGUUGCCUGAAAAUAUUGUGGCUGUGGAUGAUAUUGUGACUGCUGCCAGGGACUCCGACAUCCUGAUAUUUGCCAUACCCCCGACCUUCGUCAGCAGCUGCUGCAAGACCCUGUUGGGCAAGGUAAAGCCCACGGCCCAUGCCGUCUCCCUGAUCAAAGGAUUCGAGCGGGGAGACGAUGGACAGAUCAUACUGAUCUCUCAGAUUAUCAUGCGACAGUUGAAGGUUUCCUGCUCCGUUAUGGUGGGUUGCAAUUUGGCCCACGAGUUGGCCAAUGAUAACUUUGCCGAGGGCACUGUGGGUUGUCGUGAUCAGAAGUACUACCGCGUGCUUCGGGACAUCUUCAAGUCGGAAACAUUUCGUGUGGUGGUCACCGAAGAUGCUGACUGUGUGGAGAUCUGUUCUACUUUAAGGAACAUCAUUGCCUUUGCUGCCGGCUGCUCUGAUGGCAUGGAACUGAACGAGAACACCAAGGCGGGCAUUAUUCGUAGGGGUUUCCUGGAGAUGCUGCAGUUUGUGGAUGUCUUCUAUCCGGGCUGCCGCAUGGGCACCUUCUUUGAGGCCUGCGGCAUAUCCGAUUUGGUCACCAGCUGUUACGCCAAUCGUAAUCGGAAGCUGGCCGAGGCCUUUGUGAAGACUGGGAAGCCUCUGUGCGAACUGGAGCAUAUACUAAUAUCAGGCCAUGAGCCCUUGGGUCCAGUCACUGCCGAACUGGUUCACAUUUUACUCAAGAAAAAAGGAUUGAUUUCCACUGUUUACAACGGUCUAUAAAAUCUGCAUGGGAGAUCUACCGCUGACACGCCUCGUGGAGGCCUUGUGUCAGGCCAGCGAGGACAUCUUCCAUCCGCAACACACUUUCCAGCUUUGAAGGCUGGUCCCCAGUUUAAAAUAAAUCAGAACCGAGCAGAAUAGAACAGAACAGAAAAACA
rnacentral:misc_RNA from 1 species